AAAUCCGGUUCACUUUAACACUGAGGCGUGACGACGAGGCACUACGGUGCUGAAGCAACAAAUGCCCUGCUUCCAGGAAAAGCCUCUAAGCAUCAGGUAACAUCAAAUCGUACCCCAAACCGACACAGGUGGUCAGGUAGAGAAUACCAAGGCGCUUGAGAGAACUCGGGUGAAGGAACUAGGCAAAAUGGUGCCGUAACUUCGGGAGAAGGCACGCUGACACGUAGGUGAAGUGAUUUACUCAUGGAGCUGAAGUCAGUCGAAGAUACCAGCUGGCUGCAACUGUUUAUUAAAAACACAGCACUGUGCAAACACGAAAGUGGACGUAUACGGUGUGACGCCUGCCCGGUGCCGGAAGGUUAAUUGAUGGGGUCAGCGCAAGCGAAGCUCCUGAUCGAAGCCCCGGUAAACGGCGGCCGUAACUAUAACGGUCCUAAGGUAGCGAAAUUCCUUGUCGGGUAAGUUCCGACCUGCACGAAUGGCGUAAUGAUGGCCAGGCUGUCUCCACCCGAGACUCAGUGAAAUUGAACUCGCUGUGAAGAUGCAGUGUACCCGCGGCAAGACGGAAAGACCCCGUGAACCUUUACUAUAGCUUGACACUGAACAUUGAGCCUUGAUGUGUAGGAUAGGUGGGAGGCUUUGAAGUGUGGACGCCAGUCUGCAUGGAGCCGACCUUGAAAUACCACCCUUUAAUGUUUGAUGUUCUAACGUGGACCCGUUACCCGGGUUGCGGACAGUGUCUGGUGGGUAGUUUGACUGGGGCGGUCUCCUCCUAAAGAGUAACGGAGGAGCACGAAGGUUGGCUAAUCCUGGUCGGACAUCAGGAGGUUAGUGCAAUGGCAUAAGCCAGCUUGACUGCGAGCGUGACGGCGCGAGCAGGUGCGAAAGCAGGUCAUAGUGAUCCGGUGGUUCUGAAUGGAAGGGCCAUCGCUCAACGGAUAAAAGGUACUCCGGGGAUAACAGGCUGAUACCGCCCAAGAGUUCAUAUCGACGGCGGUGUUUGGCACCUCGAUGUCGGCUCAUCACAUCCUGGGGCUGAAGUAGGUCCCAAGGGUAUGGCUGUUCGCCAUUUAAAGUGGUACGCGAGCUGGGUUUAGAACGUCGUGAGACAGUUCGGUCCCUAUCUGCCGUGGGCGCUGGAGAACUGAGGGGGGCUGCUCCUAGUACGAGAGGACCGGAGUGGACGCAUCACUGGUGUUCGGGUUGUCAUGCCAAUGGCACUGCCCGGUAGCUAAAUGCGGAAGAGAUAAGUGCUGAAAGCAUCUAAGCACGAAACUUGCCCCGAGAUGAGUUCUCCCUGAGACUUAAAGUCUCCUGAAGGAACGUUGAAGACGACGACGUUGAUAGGCCGGGUGUGUAAGCGCAGCGAUGCGUUGAGCUAACCGGUACUAAUGAACCGUGAGGCUUAAC
rnacentral:rRNA from 1 species